CCUACGGGAGGCAGCAGUGGGGAAUAUUGCACAAUGGGGGAAACCCUGAUGCAGCGACGCCGCGUGAGUGAAGAAGUAAUUCGUUAUGUAAAGCUCUAUCAGCAGGGAAGAAAAUGACUGUGCCUGAGUAAGCAGCCUCGGCUAACUACGUGCCAGCAGCCGCGGUCAGACGUAGGGGGCAAGCGUUAUCCGGAGUUACUGGGGGUAAAGGGAGCGUAGACGGCCGUGCAAGUCUGGAGUGAAAGGCGGGGGCUUAACCCGAGGACUGCAUGGGAAGCUGGGCGGCGGGAGUGCAGGAGAGGAGAGUGGAACUCCGAGUGGAGCGGUGAAAGGCGUAGAUAUUAGGAGGAACACCAGUGGCGAGGGCGGCUUACUGGACUGUAACUGACGCUGAGGUUCGAAAGCGUGGGUAGCAAACAGGAUUAGAUACCCGUGUAGUC
rnacentral:rRNA from 1 species